AAAUCAGUUAUGGUUCCUUAGAUCGUACCCACAAUAACUAGGAUAACUGUGGUAAUUCUAGAGCUAAUACAUGCAAACAGAGCUCCGACCGGAGACGGAAGGAGUGCUUUUAUUAGAUCAAAACCAAUCGGUGGCGGGUUCGCCCGUUAUCGUACAACUUGGUGACUCUGAAUAACUUUACGCUGAUCGCACGGUCAUCGCACCGGCGACGCAUCUUUCAAAUGUCUGCCUUAUCAACUGUCGAUGGUAGGUUCUGCGCCUACCAUGGUUGUAACGGGUAACGGGGAAUCAGGGUUCGAUUCCGGAGAGGGAGCCUGAGAAACGGCUACCACAUCCAAGGAAGGCAGCAGGCGCGCAAAUUACCCACUCCCGGCACGGGGAGGUAGUGACGAAAAAUAACGAUACGGGACUCAUCCGAGGCCCCGUAAUCGGAAUGAGUACACUCUAAACCCUUUAACGAGGAUCAAUUGGAGGGCAAGUCUGGUGCC
rnacentral:rRNA from 1 species